rnacentral:misc_RNA from 1 species
CCGAUAUAGCCGAUGCCCCGCGUCAUCCUAUCAGACGGAAGCGGCCCGGGUCGAAUCCCGGACCACUUAUCCUGUCGUGAAAGCCGCCUUAGUUGGUCUUGGCGUUGGCUUCCUUCUGGAACGCCGCGAUCAGAUCCNNCAUGUCCUGAGUCACCGGCUCGAGGGCCUUCAUCCACUCGGCGCGCUCCGCGGGUGUCAGU